rnacentral:rRNA from 1 species
UACGAAGGGGGCUAGCGUUGUUCGGAUUUACUGGGCGUAAAGCGCACGUAGGCGGAUCGAUCAGUCAGGGGUGAAAUCCCAGAGCUCAACUCUGGAACUGCCUUUGAUACUGUCGAUCUGGAGUAUGGAAGAGGUGAGUGGAAUUCCGAGUGUAGAGGUGAAAUUCGUAGAUAUUCGGAGGAACACCAGUGGCGAAGGCGGCUCACUGGUCCAUUACUGACGCUG